UCAAAGGUGCAGGGCCAAUAUCAAGGGGCAGUGUAUGCUUUCUGUAUUCUGUGAGUUACUUGUUUUAAUCUUUUCAAGAGCCUCAGACUCUCAAGGAGGUUCCUGUAUCCAUCAAACAGCAUGAUGGCCAGGCUAAGUCUGAUACUGCUUUGUGAGAAUGUCAUUUAAUUUCAUUGCUCCAAAACUACAGUUACAGUAGUUUGAAGGAAGAGAAUCAGGAAUGCCUGCCUCUACAGUGCAUGUUUUCUGACAGAUGCCCAGCAUAAUGAAUAAGAAAUCAAAUAACUUCACAAGGAUUGGAUUGUGAAAUACGAAGAUUUAAUCAAACACUGAGGUUUCAUAGUCCCAGCAGCUGACUUUGAAAAUUCAGGU
rnacentral:lncRNA from 1 species